GGGUUGUGAGGUUAAGCGACUAAGCGUACACGGUGGAUGCCCUGGCAGUCAGAGGCGAUGAAGGACGUGCUAAUCUGCGAAAAGCGUCGGUAAGGUGAUAUGAACCGUUAUAACCGGCGAUGUCCGAAUGGGGAAACCCAGUGCAAUUCGUUGCACUAUCGUUAACUGAAUACAUAGGUUAACGAGGCGAACCGGGGGAACUGAAACAUCUAAGUACCCCGAGGAAAAGAAAUCAACCGAGAUUCCCCCAGUAGCGGCGAGCGAACGGGGAGCAGCCCAGAGUCUGAAUCAGCUUGUGUGUUAGUGGAACGGUCUGGAAAGUCCGACGGUACAGGGUGAUAGUCCCGUACACCAAAAUGCACAGGCUGUGAACUCGAAGAGUAGGGCGGGACACGUGGUAUCCUGUCUGAAUAUGGGGGGACCAUCCUCCAAGGCUAAAUACUCCUGACUGACCGAUAGUGAACCAGUACCGUGAGGGAAAGGCGAAAAGAACCCCGGCGAGGGGAGUGAAAAAGAACCUGAAACCGUGUACGUACAAGCAGUGGGAGCACCUUCGGGUGUGACUGCGUACCUUUUGUAUAAUGGGUCAGCGACUUAUAUUCUGUAGCAAGGUUAACCGUAUAGGGGAGCCGCAGGGAAACCGAGUCUUAACUGGGCGUUAAGUUGCAGGGUAUAGACCCGAAACCCGGUGAUCUAGCCAUGGGCAGGUUGAAGGUUGGGUAACACUAACUGGAGGACCGAACCGACUAAUGUUGAAAAAUUAGCGGAUGACUUGUGGCUGGGGGUGAAAGGCCAAUCAAACCGGGAGAUAGCUGGUUCUCCCCGAAAGCUAUUUAGGUAGCGCCUCGUGAACUCAUCUUCGGGGGUAGAGCACUGUUUCGGCUAGGGGGUCAUCCCGACUUACCAACCCGAUGCAAACUACGAAUACCGAAGAAUGUUAUCACGGGAGACACACGGCGGGUGCUAACGUCCGUCGUGAAGAGGGAAACAACCCAGACCGCCAGCUAAGGUCCCAAAGUCAUGGUUAAGUGGGAAACGAUGUGGGAAGGCACAGACAGCCAGGAUGUUGGCUUAGAAGCAGCCAUCAUUUAAAGAAAGCGUAAUAGCUCACUGGUCGAGUCGGCCUGCGCGGAAGAUGUAACGGGGCUAAACCAUGCACCGAAGCUGCGGCAGCGACACUAUGUGUUGUUGGGUAGGGGAGCGUUCUGUAAGCCUGCGAAGGUGGCCUGUGAGGGUUGCUGGAGGUAUCAGAAGUGCGAAUGCUGACAUAAGUAACGAUAAAGCGGGUGAAAAGCCCGCUCGCCGGAAGACCAAGGGUUCCUGUCCAACGUUAAUCGGGGCAGGGUGAGUCGACCCCUAAGGCGAGGCCGAAAGGCGUAGUCGAUGGGAAACAGGUUAAUAUUCCUGUACUUGGUGUUACUGCGAAGGGGGGACGGAGAAGGCUAUGUUAGCCGGGCGACGGUUGUCCCGGUUUAAGCAUGUAGGCUGGUUAUCCAGGCAAAUCCGGAUAAUCAAGGCUGAGGUGUGAUGACGAGGCACUACGGUGCUGAAGUAACAAAUGCCCUGCUUCCAGGAAAAGCCUCUAAGCAUCAGGUAACAUCAAAUCGUACCCCAAACCGACACAGGUGGUCAGGUAGAGAAUACCAAGGCGCUUGAGAGAACUCGGGUGAAGGAACUAGGCAAAAUGGUGCCGUAACUUCGGGAGAAGGCACGCUGGUGUGUAGGUGAAGUCCCUGCGGAUGGAGCUGAGACCAGUCGAAGAUACCAGCUGGCUGCAACUGUUUAUUAAAAACACAGCACUGUGCAAACACGAAAGUGGACGUAUACGGUGUGACGCCUGCCCGGUGCCGGAAGGUUAAUUGAUGGGGUUAUCCGUAAGGAGAAGCUCUUGAUCGAAGCCCCGGUAAACGGCGGCCGUAACUAUAACGGUCCUAAGGUAGCGAAAUUCCUUGUCGGGUAAGUUCCGACCUGCACGAAUGGCGUAAUGAUGGCCAGGCUGUCUCCACCCGAGACUCAGUGAAAUUGAACUCGCUGUGAAGAUGCAGUGUACCCGCGGCAAGACGGAAAGACCCCGUGAACCUUUACUAUAGCUUGACACUGAACAUUGAGCCUUGAUGUGUAGGAUAGGUGGGAGGCUUUGAAGCGUGGACGCCAGUCUGCGUGGAGCCAACCUUGAAAUACCACCCUUUAAUGUUUGAUGUUCUAACGUUGGCCCCUGACCGGGGUUGCGGACAGUGUCUGGUGGGUAGUUUGACUGGGGCGGUCUCCUCCCAAAGCGUAACGGAGGAGCACGAAGGUUAGCUAAUCCUGGUCGGACAUCAGGAGGUUAGUGCAAUGGCAUAAGCUAGCUUGACUGCGAGCGUGACGGCGCGAGCAGGUGCGAAAGCAGGUCAUAGUGAUCCGGUGGUUCUGAAUGGAAGGGCCAUCGCUCAACGGAUAAAAGGUACUCCGGGGAUAACAGGCUGAUACCGCCCAAGAGUUCAUAUCGACGGCGGUGUUUGGCACCUCGAUGUCGGCUCAUCACAUCCUGGGGCUGAAGUAGGUCCCAAGGGUAUGGCUGUUCGCCAUUUAAAGUGGUACGCGAGCUGGGUUUAGAACGUCGUGAGACAGUUCGGUCCCUAUCUGCCGUGGGCGCUGGAGAAUUGAGGGGGGCUGCUCCUAGUACGAGAGGACCGGAGUGGACGCAUCACUGGUGUUCGGGUUGUCAUGCCAAUGGCACUGCCCGGUAGCUAAAUGCGGAAGAGAUAAGUGCUGAAAGCAUCUAAGCACGAAACUUGCCCCGAGAUGAGUUCUCCCUGAGACUUUAAGUCUCCUGAAGGAACGUU
rnacentral:rRNA from 1 species